AAGACUAUAGACCUGCGGAGUACCUGCGGAAGGAUCAUUAAAGAGAAAACUGCCCUUUGGGUAGAUUUCCCACCCUUUGUUUACUUUACCUUUGUUGCUUUGGCAGGCCCGUCUUCUGACCACCGGCUUCUAGCUGGUCCGUGCCUGCCAGAGGACCCCCAACUCUUGAUUUUAAGUUGUCCGAGUCUUAUAUAAUAGUAAAAACUUUUAGCAACGGAUCUCUAGAUCGGAAGAGCACAC
rnacentral:misc_RNA from 1 species